UGUUUCCAGCUGAGUUCAGGAAGAGCUUGGGAGCAGAGUGCUUUGGUCUUGCUAGAAGGAAGCAUCUUGUUCCUUUUCUUAUCAGCCUGAGCAGAUAGUGGAGUUGAGCAAUACCCAGAACUAGAAUAGGAUCCAGUGUGCUCCUACCUUACAGAUCCAUGCUCUCAAUGGAAGCUGGUGUUUUGCUUUUCCUUCGGUUGCUCUCAGAUGAAGAUGCACCUAUGGUGGGACUGAAGUAGAAGACUUCGCAGGCAAGCUAGCCGGUAUAGGAAGCAAGCUGGAUUAAAGUUUGAGGUUGGCUGGAGUGUAUAUCCACUUCAUUAGGGUGGCAAGGUGGUGUCUGUAGUAAAGGGACAUGAGAGGUUCCCCUGUGCCUUAGCUGUGGACAGCCCUGCAAUCAAGGGAUGAAGGCUUUUGAAGCCCUUAGGAGAUGUCUUUUGUUUGGAUUCUGGGCAAGUCCAUUUCUUCCUUCAUUGAGUUGGAAGGCUAAAUUAAGUUAGCCCUACCACCAGCAGAGUGAGUUCCUGAGUCAGUAAAGGAGGGAAAUCAAGCCAGAGGCCUAUGUUUGACCAGGGAGGAGACACUACCUGAAUAAAGAAUGGGUGCAUCUGGGGAUGAAAGCAUUCAGGUUUCUUUCAGAAAAUGGCUGUAGUCCUGGAACUUCUACCCAAGCUGCUGAACGAAACAGAAGACAAACGAGAGGAGGAAGGUUUUUUAUAACAUCAGAGAUCUAAUAUUCCAGUUAGUACUCCGGCUGGGG